rnacentral:lncRNA from 1 species
CCCUUUAGGUUUGCUGGCAAUGGUUUUAUUGGUGCAUCAAAACCCCUUGGAUUUAUUCAUGAACAAAAUUUCAAGCAGUUGUCCUGCUAUUUUUUUUACCAAUGGGAUUUGAUUGUGUAAGUACUGUAAAAUAUUUCAACAUGGUGAAGGUCCAAAGCUAAAAAAAAUUAUGCUCUGACACACAGAGUAGCUGGGGAAUACUUGGGAAGGCUGAAUUCUCAAUAGUUACGUACACUUCUCGCAUUUCUAUUGCAGAUAUGUUAUUCACAGAGCGGUGGCACAGAGGACACCCGGAAAAGACAGAUUUCAGCCUAAAGUAAGGAAGUGAUGUCACCUGGGACAAAGCACCCUUACCAGCUGCUGCAUAGUACUUGUCCAGGAAGAUUAAAGAAUUUUAAAAGAAUUCUUAUUAACUCUGCGGUUAAGUUCAUACAAACUGUACCAUGGAUACAGAAGUGUGACAUCUCCUGGAAAAUGAUGAACUUAGAGUGGGUGAUUUGGACUCCACAGACCCUAGAAAUGGAUGAAAAGGUCUGGGACCCUGACAAAAGGUGA